GGCGCAGGCGGCACCCCCGGGCCCGGUUGCUACGGCAGCCUCGGCUCGGCCUGCCCGGCCUCGGGGUCUCUUGGUGUCCCCCCGUGUCUCCCGUGUCCCCUUCGUGCCCCUGUGCUCCUGUGAUUUGUGUCGCUGCGCUCCGUGUCACUGCCCGUCUCUGGAGUGGCAGUGCCCGCCCGCAGCGCCGCAGUCCGGCCGGGUGGUUGAAGGCCCGGCGAGGGCGCUGGCACGGGAGCCCCCAUUGUUCGGGAAGUGGAGUUUGUUCAGUGACACAUCAUGGAAAUCGUUCGGGAGAGCGGCAGGAGCGCUCCCUGCCUCUCGCUGAUGGGUGGGGGCUGCUGGUGUGACACUGGGGUGGCUGGUGGGAUACUGGGGCUGCUGGUGUGACAGUGGGACAGCCAGACGGACACUGGGACUACUGGUGUGACACUGGGGCUGCUAAAGGGGCCCUGGAGCUGCUCGUGUGACAGUGGGGCUGCUAAAGGGGCACUGGGGCUGCUGGUGUGACACUGGAGCAGCCAGAGGGACACUGGGGCAGCCAGAGGGACACUGGGGAUGCUGGUGUGACCCUGGGGCUGUUCAUGGGACACUGGGAUUGCUGGCGUGACAUUGGGACAGUCGGAGGGGGCACUGGGACAGCCAGAGGGACACUGCCACAGCAGAGACUGGAGCACAAGGCAGUGCUGGUGGGUGUUUACAGGCACACGGGGCUGUUCUUUCUGGGUUACUGGCAAAGAAUUUUAGAAAUUAGCAAUAGCAACGCUGCGUGUUUUCAUUUGCAGGUAGAGAACUGCAUGGAUGGUGCAUUAACAGAUCAAAUCUCUGCAAGGGCCUGAGCUGUGCCUUCCCCCUCCUGCUUGCCUCCCUCCUGCCACACGCCGGGGUGACACCAGCUGUCCCCAACCCGGGAUUGGCCCACAGCUGGGACCGUCCGAGCGGAGUCACAAUAUUUCAGCAACCUGUGGUUUGUUGUAACCUCUCAUUUCCUCAAUCUGCUGUGUGUUAAGUGGGUCCUUCAGUGGGGAGUUCCUCGGGGCUCAGCGGGGUGCAGCUGGGGUCCCUCUCGCAGGACGGCUGGUUUGUGCUGGCAGCAUUUCCUGGGAUUUUCUUAAAGCUUUGGUGAGUUUCCCUUCCACAAGUGAGUCUCUGUCCUGUGGGACACCAGCCUCCAUAGGGGCCAAGGUAUGAACCACACACUCAGGAAGCUGGUUGUCAUUUUGAUUUUGGGUUAUUUUUUUUUUUUUUUUUUUUAAUUUGAAAUACUUCUUUGAAGCAGAUUCAGGGCAGAUGCCACUGACCUCUUACCACAAACACAUAUUUGCAAUGAUAAAGUCAUACAGCUUUUGUGUUUAAAACACAAAAUAAGGGGUGAGGGAAGAGAAAGAGGCCCCUGCUGUGUGUGUCUGGGUCCCAGGUGAGGGAGCGUGGCCACGUGGCUUCAGUCUUAUCCCCUGGCUGAGUGGGGCUGUGUGCUCGAGCUCCAUUUGAGGCCUUUGAUCAUGAAAUCAAUCCCAUGUCUGGGUCCUUCACUGGUUUAUGCUCCACCUCUCCUCCCUGCUGUCCCCACAGAGCCCUGGGGACGCUGUGGCUUUGCCUCCACGUGUGCUCCCACUCCUCAGCAGCGUUCUCCCACAGCCCUGGGCGGGGUGUGUGUGCAGCCUCCUUCAGGAUGUGUGUGUGGCCUCUGUCAGUCCGUGGGUCAGUCUGGAGUAUAUGUCUGUCUCUGGACACGUUACAUGGUGUAGCAGUGCUCUGUUCAAUAAAGCUUUCAUAUACAUAGCA